rnacentral:rRNA from 1 species
AUUGAACGCUGGCGGCAUGCUUUACACAUGCAAGUCGAACGGAAAGGCCCUGCUUUUGUGGGGUGCUCGAGUGGCGAACGGGUGAGUAACACGUGAGUAACCUGCCCUUGACUUUGGGAUAACUUCAGGAAACUGGGGCUAAUACCGGAUAGGAGCUCCUGCUGCAUGGUGGGGGUUGGAAAGUUUCGGCGGUUGGGGAUGGACUCGCGGCUUAUCAGCUUGUUGGUGGGGUAGUGGCUUACCAAGGCUUUGACGGGUAGCCGGCCUGAGAGGGUGACCGGCCACAUUGGGACUGAGAGACGGCGCAGACUCCUACGGGAGGCAGCAGGGGGGAAUAUUGCACAAUGGGCGGAAGCCUGAUGCAGCAACGCCGCGUGCGGGAUGACGGCCUUCGGGUUGUAAACCGCUUUCGCCUGUGACGAAGCGUGAGUGACGGUAAUGGGUAAAGAAGCACCGGCUAACUACGUG